GAUGAACGCUGACAGAAUGCUUAACACAUGCAAGUCCACUUGAAUUUGGGUUUUUAACUUCGGUUUGGGUGGCGGACGGGUGAGUAACGCGUAAAGAACUUGCCUCACAGCUAGGGACAACAUUUGGAAACGAAUGCUAAUACCUAAUAUUAUGAUAAUAGGGCAUCCUAUAAUUAUGAAAGCUAUAAGCGCUGUGAGAGAGCUUUGCGUCCCAUUAGCUAGUUGGAGAGGUAACGGCUCACCAAGGCGAUGAUGGGUAGCCGGCCUGAGAGGGUGAUCGGCCACAAGGGGACUGAGACACGGCCCUUACUCCUACGGGAGGCAGCAGUGGGGAAUAUUGGACAAUGGACCGAGAGUCUGAUCAAGCAAUUCUGUGUGCACGAUGAAGUUUUUCGGAAUGUAAAGUGCUUUCAGUUGGGAAGAAACAAAUGACGGUACCAACAGAAGAAGUGACGGCUAAAUACGUG
rnacentral:rRNA from 1 species